UAAAGAACUGACAUUGACACAUAGAAUAGUACAGAUCAAGGUUAGAUAAAGAACUGACAUUGGCACAUAGAAUAGUACAGAUCAAGAUUAGAUAAAGAACUGACAUUGGCACAUAGAAUAGUACAGAUCAAGGUUAGAUAAAGAACUGACAUUGGCACAUAGAAUAGUGCAGAUCAAGAUUAGAUAAAGAACUGACAUUGGCACAUAGAAUAGUACAGAUCAAGGUUAGAUAAAGAACUGACAUUGGCACAUAGAAUAGUACAGAUCAAGGUUAGAUAAAGAACUGACAUUGGCACAUAGAAUAGUACAGAUCAAGGUUAGAUAAAGAACUGACAUUGGCACAUAGAAUAGUACAGAUCAAGGUUAGAUAAAGAACUGACAUUGGCACAUAGAAUAGUACAGAUCAAGGUUAGAUAAAGAACUGACAUUGGCACAUAGAAUAGUACAGAUCAAGGUUAAAUAAAGAACUGACAUUGGCACAUAGAAUAGUACAGAUCAAGGUUAGAUAAAGAACUGACAUUGGCACAUAGAAUAGUACAGAUCACGGUUAGAUAAAGAACUGACAUUGGCACAUAGAAGGGUACAGAUCAAGGUUAGAUAAAGAACUGACAUUGGCACAUAGAAUAGUACAGAUCAAGGUUAGAUAAAGAACUGACAUUGGCACAUAGAAUAGUACAGAUCAAGGUUAGAUAAAGAACUGACAUUGGCACAUAGAAUAGUGCAGAUCGAGGUUAGAUAAAGAACUGACAUUGGCACAUAGAAUAGUACAGAUCACGGUUAGAUAAAGAACUGACAUUGGCACAUAGAAUAGUACAGAUCACGGUUUGAUAAAGAACCGACAUUGGCAUAUAGAAUAGUACAGAUCAAGGUUAGAUAAAGAACCGACAUUGGCACAUAGAAUAGUACAGAUCAAGGUUAGAUAAAGAACUGACAUUGGCACAUAGAAUAGUACAGAUCAAGGUUAGAUAAAGAACUGACAUUGGCACAUAGAAUAGUACAGAUCAAGGUUAGAUAAAGAACUGACAUUGGCACAUAGAAUAGUACAGAUCAAGGUUAGAUAAAGAACUGACAUUGGCACAUAGAAUAGUACAGAUCAAGGUUAGAUAAAGAACUGACAUUUGCACAUAGAAUAGUACAGAUCAAGGUUAGAUAAAGAACUGACAUUGGCACAUAGAAUAGUACAGAUCACGGUUAGAUAAAGAACUGACAUUGGCACAUAGAAUAGUUCAGAUCACGGUUAGAUAAAGAACUGACAUUGGCACAUAGAAUAGUACAGAUCACGGUUAGAUAAAGAACUGACAUUGGCACAUAGAAUAGUACAGAUCAAGGUUAGAUAAAGAACUGACAUUGGCACAUAGAAUAGUACAGAUCAAGGUUAGAUAAAGAACUGACAUUGGCACAUAGAAUAGUACAGAUCAAGGUUAGAUAAAGAACUGACAUUGGCAAAUAGAAUAGUGCAGAUCACGUUUAGAUAAAGAACUGGCAUUGGCACAUAGAAUAGUGCAGAUCAAGGUUAGAUAAAAAACUGACAUUGGCACAUAGAAUAGUACAGAUCAAGGUUAGAUAAAGAACUGACAUUUGCACAUAGAAUAGUACAGAUCAAGGUUAGAUAAAGAACUGACAUUGGCACAUAGAAUAGUACAGAUCAAGGUUAGAUAAAGAACCGACAUUGGCAUAUAGAAUAGUACAGAUCAAGGUUAGAUAAAGAACUGACAUUGGCACAUAGAAUAGUACAGAUCAAGGUUAGAUAAAGAACUGACAUUGGCACAUAGAAUUGUACAGAUCAAGGUUAGAUAAAGAACUGACAUUGGCACAUAGAAUAGUGCAGAUCAAGGUUAGAUAAAGAACUGACAUUGGCACAUAGAAUAGUACAGAUCAAGGUUAGAUAAAGAACUGACAUUGGCACAUAGAAUAGUACAGAUCAAGGUUAGAUAAAGAACUGACAUUGGCACAUAGAAUAGUACAGAU